rnacentral:lncRNA from 1 species
GCAGCAACACACUUAAACAGGAAUAACCCGUCAGUCCCUCGGAUCUAGUCCGAUAAAGCCACUUACCAGGAUCGAAUACCACUAGCUCACACGAAGGUGAGGCACAGAGAAAUACAAUAAAAACAUAAUACCACAAAUUUAAUAAGUAUCAUUAGUGAUUACAUUAUCGGAGUUUCAGAAAUAAUAACCAUAAAUUUUAAUGCAGCGGAAAUAACUAACGGAGAAGAAACGAGUAACAUGGCGAAGCCUGGCCACGCUACUCCUCCGGGUCCUCUCCUGCGGAAGCAGUAACCCACUCGACCAUCUAUCCCGGUGGCAGGGAUGGAGGCCAAGUCACACCAGCAACCAUAUCAAGGAGGUACCUGCAAAAAUUGUGCCACAAGCAAGGCUGAGUAUACUAAUACUCAGCUAGACUUACCCGGUGUGAGGAGUCUACUCCUCUACCUCUAGACAUGCAGCUGUUUGGCUGAGGGGUUUGGUUGCCAAAAGCACUAGCUGAGUCUAAAAACAAGUUUUAGCUUUUCAAGUUUUAGUAAGAUCCUUUUAAGACUAGAUGAGUACCUAGCUAGUCAUACAUGGUAUCAAACAUUUUAUCAAUCAACAUCUUUUGCCAAGUCAACACAUUUCCACUUGUUACUCAAUGUAGCAGCAUGGAUCAAGCAGUCUCAUUAGCUGCGAGAAGCAGACGAUUCGAAUCGAGUUUUUAAACCUUGCAAGGUAAACCUAAACACACGAUAUGUAGGGGCACUCCGUCCCCACACACAUCAACCGUCCCCAUCGAUUCCCCGUCAGCAGAUCAGGGCUCACCGCCUUGGCGUACAAUGCCUCACUGACCCCGACUGGCCGUCGUGCAGUGACCGCACUUGUACCCACCAUAACCGGAAUGGGAGACCUCGUCUCAGGUCGCGUGAGGGGAUAUGUCCACUGCCAGGUUCACUCAGGUACUAGGCUUACCGAUUUACCAUAUUUCUCGACAUAUGUUUAGUACGUUCAAACGCUUGACUCACGGUACCACACCAUAAUCCUUAUUCCAAUUUCCGUCUCGGAGACGACGCAUCCCCAUGGACCGUCGUCAACAGACCAUCAUCAUUAUGAUAUCAAAAUGGAUACAAUCAAUUCCUGACCUCGCGCGAGUGCUAGAAAAAUCACUCGACUUCUACCGAGAUCCCUAAUUAGCAAAGCAGCUACUCGACCUAGCAUACUAGUAUCCAUCUCAAAGGUAUCCUGAGUUCAUGCAACUAGGGUUUCAGGCAACUCCUACACUUAAGUGCACAGUACAAGCCUACAAACAUUAAGUGCAGUAAAAUAGCAUAUAUAACGGUUAUGCAUAAAACCGGGGCUUGCCUUUAAUUUAACACUUAGAUAGUGUUUGCUGGGGUAGGUACUCGCUUGGCGAGUAUCUACUGGUUAUGUCCAGUCUUCAGGUCGUCCACCAACGGCAUCUUGUGGUUGACACCACACCACUUGCACGAUCGUCAUCUCUCGGUCCUAAAUGAGAUGCAGGAUGCAUAUGUAUGAAUAUGAAGAAAUAUAUCACAAGAUAAUCCCAAAAUGGACGGUAGAGAACUAAACAUUAAAUUGUAAGACACCACGACAACUGUACGCAAGCACUAGUUAUCUAUACGUCAUCGGGCAUACGUAGUCAAUCAUCACUGGAAAACAACAAACACUUCCUAUAAUUAUCUAUUGCAAACACGACAUCAUAAGUACAAGCAUUCGCCACGUUCACUUUUAUCAUUCAUUAGUUACUUAUUAUUAAACUAGUUAAGUACACAUAAUUUACGAGGACUUACAUAUAGACAGACUUAGUUAAGAAGGAAUAAUUUCUUAAUCGGGUUUUACAAUCAUUCACAACCUUCUACUGCAAGCAUACACCCAGAGAACACACAUGAGGAGAUAUUUUAUUCACAAUUACAAAUUGUACUACUUUAAUGAUGUUGGUUACUUAGUAUUAUUAGCAGAAAGGCAAAGACAAGACAUUAUCAUUUUGUUUCUCCGAACAUAUAACUGCAUUGCUAAGUGUUGAUUAAGCUAAGCUACUUAUUAGACCUCAACAAAAUUAGUUCACUAACUUAGUGAGACAUGUACUACUUACUUAAAUAUAACCCCAAUUAUAUUGGUCACUAUCAUUAUUACUCAUGUUCAAUUUAAAACACAAAUAAGCAAGCAGUCACUCAAGGCAACACAAUAGAGUAGAGCAAUCCAUCAAACAUAACAAAAUUAGGACAGCAGCACAACAGUUGCUUGUUUCAGUCAUAACUCUUCAAAUAUUAAUCCAAACAUAGCAAACUAGGACCUUCUGGAAAGCUUAGAAGGUGCUCUAUAACUUUGGUAUUGUCAUCACAAGGUGACUAGACACUUAACAAGGUUAAAUAGUGCUAACACAACAACUUUGUCCAGAUUUGGAUAGAUUCAGACUUGCAACUUCAAAAAUUCACAACUAAAGAUUCAGACAUCCAAAUAAAUUGAUCCUAGACUUUAUGGAAAGAUAAUAAAAUUGUCUACAUAUAAUUUAUAAAUAUCUCAAGGUGAUUCAAUAUUUAACUAAGGACAAAAGACACUAGAAGACAUUGCUAUCCAAAACUGGACAGAUUCAGUCUUCCUACUUUAAACAUCCAUAACUUAAUCUUCAGACCACCAAAAAGAGUGAUCCAAGACUUUUUGGAAAGCUUGGCAAAAGCACUACAUAACUUUUAUAAUCACCAAGAAGUGAUUCCAGGUUUAAUCAAAUCAAACAUUACAGUUUUUGAAAUCUGUUCUGACAGUGGACAGAACAGAGCAACCGUUUUGUAAAAUUCAUAACUCUUAAACUAUUAGGCCUAUGCUUAUGAAAGUUUCACACAAGCAAGAUAAGAAAAACAUCUACAACUUUCUUAUAACGACCAUGAACAUAUUGUAACAUUAACUUAAGCAAACAAUUCAAUCUCUGAAAUCUGUACAGAAAUUGGACAGAUUCAGUUACUGAAUUUGCGAAAAGCACAACUUCUAAACGAUCAGACUUAUGUCUGUCAACCUUUAACACAAGUAAGUUAAUAAAUUUAUCUACAACUUUCUUGUGACCACUAAUAACUGAUUUCAACAUUAACUUAAGUAACCAUUGCAAUCUCUGAAAUUUGUUCAGAAUUUAGACAGAUUCAGUUAAUGAUAUUGUGAAAGACAUAACUUCUAAACCAUCAAUUCUUAGCUCAUGAAUUUUUAGGACGAGCUAGAUACACAAGUUAACUACAAUUUUUAUAUAGCAUAUAUCUACAGAAAGUAUACUUUACUUUACUAGAUUACUCACACAACCAAAACUAUACACGCAUGAAUUUCAGUUUGCUAGCACAAGAGCACUUAACUAAAUCACCAAGCAAACUCAUAGAGAGAUACUAUCACCAAUUUCUGAAGUUAAAAUCAUUAUGGCCUAGUUGUAAAGUUUCAAUUUAUAUGAAGACACUUAAACAUUUCAAGAAACAUGCACGCCUUUGUUUACUUCUAAUUUGUCUCUAAUUCUUCUUAUAAUUAUAAAAUGGUUGUUAUUUUAGCACCAUAUGAAAGUACCUAAUUUGGAGCCGGAAUUUUUAUGAGGCAAAGGUAAUAACUAUUUAUGACUAAUGUAUAAAUUUCACAUGCCCAGGUUUUAUAUUUUAUUUACUACAAAAAUAACAAACUGUUAAUGCAAUAAAGAUUGUGAGAGCAAGUUAAUUCUAAAAUUAAUUAUUUUCUGUGGAUGCAUGACCACAUUGAGUUUUCUUAGGCUACUAUAAUACCAUGCAAGGACAGUAGAACACUAUUUUCCAUUUUUGCAUCUAUACAUUAUUUUUAAAUCAUUUAAAACUACUUAAGGUGCAUUAAACAAGUUAAAUCACUAACUUAAUCAUACAUGCACAACAAUUCAUAAAAUAUUUACCAGUCACCAAGCAUCACAACAAGAGUCUUCUGUAAAAAUUUGAAUCCAUUUGGAGCACUAGAGCUACAGAUCUAAAAAUAACAAGCAAAACAAUAAUCUUUUUCCUAUUUAACAUGUUUAAAUUAACACACUAAGAAAACAGUGAACAACCUACAAGUUUUAUAUUUUUUUAGAUGGAGUAUGACAUUAUCUAACUAACAAAACAAGUUUCACCAUUUUUGGAUUUUUAUAAAUAAAAAUAUGGAGAGAAGCAAGUUCAUUUAUUCUCUAAACCAGUUUUUAAAUACGAAUUUCUACAGAAAAACUUUUCUACUAAAACAUACCAACAUAUAGAUCCAAUAGUUAGAGCAUUUCAUAAGGAAGCCAACAAAACAAGUUUCACGAUUUUAGGAGCUCUAAAACUCGAGAUAUGAAUUUUUGAACACAACACAAAAAUCUGCAACUUGUGCACUCACAUCUCGCCUCGGGCCCACUUGUCAUAGACUCAGGGGUCUUCUUCUACCUUGGACUUCCCGAACGUGAGGUGUGUUUGCUGCAGGUUUGAGGGCUCCAUGGCCAUGGGAAGGGAUCCUCGCUGCUGCCAUGGGAGAAAAGAAGAGAGGGAUGGCUCCACAGCAGCGCACCAAGGAGAGCCCGAGCAGAGGGGGAGAGAUGGCGUGGGGGAAGAGAAGGGAGAGGGCAAGGGCUGCCAUUUAUAGAGCCAAGCUCUGGACAUGUCAGCUAGCUGCAGCAGGUGGCAGGUGCUACAGUGACAUCUUUGGGCGACGUGUUUUGGCAGUUUCUGCUUGGAAUCGGAUCUUGGUUGCUGCACAAAAUAUCUUCCUUGAUCUAUACUCUACAAUUGUUGUACAGGACUUGAGAUGAUUCGGGCACUGGUUAGAGAGUUAUAGAUCCACGAAAACUGGUUUGUCAGUGGGUUAGAACUCAGUGGAAACUCGUGAAAACUGAAUGUCAAAGCAUGUCAAACGGAAUCGGAUGAAUGCCAUCUUUCAAUAUGUUGUGCCCCUUUUAGUUAUUAACAACUUUUAUAUUUGGGAAAACUUGAGUUGUUCAACAAAAAUUUGGGAACGCGAGACGUCAACACGAACGACACUGAUUCCAGACUUAGAAGAAUUCGAAUUCUGAAAUCAUAUUUUUUUAUUCUGUCUUGAUGGCACUGUUUGAGAUACUUAGAGGUUGAAUCAAGGCUUGGUUUAAAUAUAAUAUUUGUUGUAUAACACAGGUUCUACAACUUUUAUUAAAGGUCAAACCUCAUAUCUUGAAUAUAAAUUAAAGUUUCACCUUUGUCAAGGUAGCAUCAUUAUAAGGCUUCAAAUUAUAUUUUUAAGGCAAUCGGGGUAUUUUCUCGAUAUUUUAUUGGCAUUUUCUCUACAUGAACCCUUAAUAACUUUUGUUGUAGAGUUAAUAUAGAGUUGUUUGAGCAAGAUUUCAAGGCUUGGUUGAAUUUCAAAAUUUGCACAUGUUCAAACGAGAAGUUUCAAGCAAGUAUAUGAUUUAUGUUUUGAUGUGAGCAUUUGGUUCAAACUUUAAGAAAUCUUUAGAAUACACUUGAUAGAUAGAGAUGAAUGAUGAUAUAGAGAUAAGAAGUUGAUUUGCAUAAGAAUUAAUUAGAGAUUGGCACAACAGAGAUUCCGCUGGAGAAUGCGGAUUCGGACUAUGUAUUUGGACAUAGACCGAAUAUCGAGAAAGCGGAUUCAGACACCGAUUGGAUAACGUAACAACUAUCGAGAGUCCGAAUAAAUGAGUCUGGACGAGAGUUGCGAGACGAGAUUGACUUUCGAAUUUGCGUUUGCUUUAAGAAACAAAAAGUUUUAACAGGCUCGAAAUUUGGAUGUUCUUGAGAUCGAAUAAUUCCGAACUUGGUGAAACUUUCAUGAGUAACUUGAUAAAUGGAGAUAGAUGUGAUCGAGAAAUAGAAAUUUUCACUGAGCACCCGAGAUUAGGAUAAAUCUCCUAACAUAACGCGAAAUUGACACCUGGGGUGUCACAGCCUUCCCCCCUUAAAAAGAAUCUCGUCCCGAGAUUCGAAUGAGGAUUUUCAAGGGUGGAGAAGCAUGUAACUCCCAGACUGAACAUAGAUGCAAAUUCAUGAGAGGGUAUCUGACAAGAUACUGGAGAUAGAUUUGGACAAAAUAUCGUGACAUAUUGAGACAAAAUGCAGCGAUCCCUCUGAGAUAAUAUCCACAAAAGAUAGCACAUCAGUAUAGUCUCGUAAUGGAUCACAACUAUUAACCAUGAUACCAGCGCGUGUCGAGCAGCUCAACCAUGUGUGCACCAUAGUAGGCUCUCGGUUUCGUCGCGGCACCAUGAGUUGUUAGCCAUAAUACCAUUACCAAACGCAACCAAUGAGAAGUCGAUAUAGCACAUAUAGAUGGAGCCCAUGAGAAUAUGGCUCAGAAAAUAAGAAUGUGACCAGAGUUGAAGCAGAGGCUGCUGACAAAAAGAGCAUCACCUGAGAAUUUUCUUCAACUCAGAGAACUAUUUUAUGAUCAAUACGGAGAUUAUUAGCCAAAGAUUGAUACGAUAUUUAAUAUGAGGAGGAACCAACCAUGAAAUCAAGAUGGAUGAGCUUUUAGAGACAUGAGAGAACCAAGGACAACAAUCAAAUCCAUUGAACCAAAUGGAUAUGCCAUUUAGAGAUAAGUUGAUAAAACAAGCGUCAUGACCCUCGGAGAAGGGGGUAUGAGAAUGACCAGAAAUGAGAGAUUUUAAGCAAAUCAACAUCCGAUACUUGAGAACGUUAUAGCAGAUAACCAGAGAAUAGGGCAGAAUCAUUAAGGGAGUCGGAGAUUUGGAUGAUAAGGCCACAACAUGAUUCACAAAGGUAAAGGUUCACCAGAUCCAGGUGAAAAGAGAGGUCAUCAACCUAGAUGGCUUCUGGGUUGAGCAGAAGAGAAUUUAAUGAGGAUUUUUGGGACAAGGUUUUCAAAAAGAAAUUGAGGUUGGACAUGGUUUGCGUGAAUAGACAAUAAACCAUUUUUUUUGACACAACAAGUGCACAAGGAGACUAGGGUUGGUCUAAAGGUCAAGUUGUGGUGGUCUAUAAGCUGUGCAAGUGUAAAUUCAAGUGUAAAACACUCAAGGGUCAGAAAAUACCAACACAAGCAUGUGAUUUGAUUUUUUAAGGGUUUCACUUGCUAACCACUAGGUUGUUUAAAGUGGGGGGUCUUUUUUUAUGGGCCAAACAAGCAACAUUUUUUUUAUUGGCAAAAAGGGUUAAACAAUUGCAAUACCACCUAGAUAGCAAGACAAGAGAAACACAUGACACGACCUAACAAGACUUACCAUGACACACAGGAUAAGACAUUUCUAACAUAGAGUACAUCACAUUAUUCACAAGUUUUUAUUAUUGGAAUAAAGGUGAGAGAAGCAUGUUGAUGCGCAAGAGACAAUUAUAAUGCGACAAUCAUGAUGCAUGCUCAUUCUAGUCGUCUUCUCAGACCUAACUAAUUUUUCGGGUGCUUCUACAGCAUCCGUUCUAAUAGUAGUAGUAGCCUUUAUGGCCUAUAUAAAUAUAGCCACCUAGCUACCCAUCUAUUUCCUAAGGCUUCACGUCCUAGGUCUAUCCUUAUCGUCCUAACGAUCUAUCCAACAUUGGUUGCUAAGCAAGUUUUACUUUUAGAAAAGGUUGGUAAUCAUGACUUAUUGACUUCUCUGUGAUGGUAUUCGCUCCGAUACCAGCUGUGGCGGAACCGCCCGAAUUAUUCCAGCUUAAGUGCCCAAGUCGCACCCAUAAGGGCAGCAACACACUUAAACAGGAAUAACCCGUCAGUCCCUCGGAUCUAGUCCGAUAAAGCCACUUACCAGGAUCGAAUACCACUAGCUCACACGAAGGUGAGGCACAGAGAAAUACAAUAAAAACAUAAUACCACAAAUUUAAUAAGUAUCAUUAGUGAUUACAUUAUCGGAGUUUCAGAAAUAAUAACCAUAAAUUUUAAUGCAGCGGAAAUAACUAACGGAGAAGAAACGAGUAACAUGGCGAAGCCUGGCCACGCUACUCCUCC